AAAGGACUAGUUUAAAAGAACACUUGAUUUCGGCUCAAGUAGUCUCGGUUUGACUCCGAGGUCCUUAU
rnacentral:tRNA from 1 species